UAAUGGUCAAGAGCUUCCUAGAAGUGUGAGAUGGCUUGUCACUGCACUUAUAUGGGAAUACCUAACGGAAACUGUUUAUAAGGAUACCCUUUUAGGACAGAAAGGGCUUCAAUUAAAAAUUUCUACACCAUUUUCCUCCAUGAUCAAGGAAUUGUGUGACUUCAGGGAUGGAAACAUUAGUCAGCAUUUCACAAGAUUAGAUUUCCGGGCUGAAGAUCAGAAGCUGCAAUAAAUCAAUAUCUGAAUUUGCAAGUCAG
rnacentral:lncRNA from 12 species